AACUCAUGAUGAGGACACAAUCUCAACAUCUCCUUGAAGCGCUCCCAAGCUUCAUAGAGCGAUUCUCCAUCUUUUUAACAAAAACUUGUUAUUUGAUUUCUCAAUU
rfam:Cicer arietinum chromosome Ca6, whole genome shotgun sequence.